rnacentral:lncRNA from 10 species
CCUUCCCUUUCCUGUCUCACUUCCCCACUCCUCUUCCUGGGUCGCCUCCCAAACAAACUACUUGGACCUGAAUCUCGUCCAGCCUUAUGUUCUGGUGUUAAAGAGUCUGUCUGGAAUUUACCCUGAGAACAAUAGCAGGCUUUACCUUCCUCUGAUAAUUGGCAAAAGGUUCUGAAGCUCCCAGGCCAUCUGGAGUCCUUGUAAACUAGCAUACCUACAGGUAAAGAGACUGAAAGAAACUGUUUAAGAAACGAAAUGGAGCUUUUGCAGCUAUCUACUGCUUAAGAAAAUAAUGAGUGUUCAGCUGGUUUGCUCUCUCGGCUGUUUCUCCAGGACUGCCCCAGGAGCAGAGUCUCCAAAAGUGAGCAAAAUCAGCUACACAAAAUGGGACGUGCAAGUUACCCAUAUGUUUGUGUUGCACACAUUUUGCAUGAAAGGUAGAAAGUGCAAACAAAGAAAACUGGACACUCUUUGAAGUUACUCAACUGAUGACGACACCUCACUCUCUUCUCUACGUGGCUGGUGUUCCAUCUUUCCUCCCACAGACGCUGUGAGCAUGUCAGUACCAGUGGGGCUUUGCAGCCAUGAUACAAGGCUUUUCUUCUCUGUCAUGUGUACAGAGCCAUGUACCACCAUGGAACCAAUGUUCCAGCCAUGGUUCACUGUGUGGUUUCCUUCUUCAUAACUGCCACGACUAAAACAACACGUCAAAGCAAUAUUUUUUUCCUCUUUAUUUCUCCGGGGCAAUUUCUCAGUGAAUGUGCCUUUUUUAUUUCUUUUUCCUUUUUUUUUGAGACGGAAUCUCACUCUGUCGCCCGGACUGGACUGUAAUGGUGUGAUCUCUGCUCACUGCAACCUCCGCCUCCCGGGUUCAAGCGAUUCUCCUUCCUCAGCCUCCCGAGUAGCUGGGACUACAGGUGCGCGCCACCACACCCAGCUAAUUUUUUUGUAUUUUUAGUACGGAUAAGGUUUCACCAUGUUGGCCAGGCUGAUCUUGAACUCCUGACUUCAUGAUUUGCCCGCCUCGGCCUCCCAAAGUGCUGGGAUUACAGACGUGAGCCACUGCACCCUGCCGAAUGUACUUUUUUUUUUUUUAAACUCUAUCUUACUUCCUUCUCAUCACCUAAUUCAGAAUUCCUAUAAUCGUUGGUCGAGAGUCUAUUGCCUAGUGAUGUCAGAGGGUUCGCAGAAACCCCAGUGCCUUGGUAUCCACAAAUGUUUUUCUUUUAGUUAUGCUGAACUGGUGCUGCCUAAUAGGGCAGCCACUCACACAUACUUCAAUUUAAAUUAAUUAAAAUGACGUAAAAUUUAAAAUUCUUGUUUUCAGCUGUACAAGCCAUAUUUUGAUAGCCCCCUGUAGCUAAUGGCUACCAUAUUGAACAGCAAAGAUAUACGGUACUUACCCAGCAGUAUAGAAAGCUCAACCGGACAGUGCUACAACAGUUGCAGGUAAGCAAGCAAGGUAAGGAUAGUCCCAAUCAGAUAGAUGGCAUCUAUUUUGUGUGAAGCCUUGUGAGGUGGCUCACACCUGUAGUCCCAGCUACUUGGGAAGCUGAGGUGGGAGGAUCACUUGAGGUCAGGAGUUUGAGACCAGCCUGGGCAACAUAAUGAAACGAAAAUAAAAAAAUUUUUUUUUUCUGUGUGAAAU